UACCCAGCACUGAAACUCUCUCAUUCGCAACAGCCCAAAUGGGAUGACAGACACUGCCGUGGCCAUCAGCCCUAGAAGACGUAAACAGUCUGAAUGGAACUUUUUUCCCUUUCUGGAAAAGGGAGAGACAACCACGAAUUGACCUGAUGCGCUCCUCUGAUAGAAACGCUUGAUACAGGUCUGAGUUCAGCCUGAGACCCAGGAAAAUUAUUUCUUGCGUGGGCACUAAGCAGCUCUUCGUCUCGUUUAUUUUGAAGCCUAAGCCUUUUAAAUGAGACACAAGCAGAUUUGUAUCGAUCUCCGCCUGCCGCCGUGACGGAGUAGAGAGGAGGAGAUCGUCCAAAUAAGCUGACACUCUGAGACCCGCUAUUCUCAGCGGUGUUAGAGCCGCCUCGACACAUUUCGUGAAAGUUCUUGGGGCUAAUGCCAAACCGAACAGAACUGUCAAAAAUUCGUAGGCUGUGCCCUGAUAGGCAAACCUGAGGAAUUUUCUGUGUGCCGGAUAAAUACUUUUGUGAAAAUAAGCGUCCUUCACAUCUACUGAUGUAAACCAGUCUCUGGGACGAAUAACAUUGUAUAAUUUUUUUUAUUGGUGUACUGCGCAUGCGCGCCAACUCUCCGCGUGAGCAGAGAGCGCUGUAGCUCUCGCUCACUGAUGGUGCGGCGCUAUGAUCUAGCGGCAGAUCUGGGGGUUGCAGCUCUGAUCUGAGAGUAUUUGUGUGUAUUUUUGUUUUUAUUUUCACACAAAUCUGUGCCCUUGGCCCACUAACUGGAUGCACAGUAAACAUUUUUAUUUCUUUCAAAUGGGAACACGUGUAAACCUUCGUCCUCUCUCUUGCAUAACCCACCUUUAUGAGAGUCUUUAGACAAAAUCAUAGACCCGCAAGCACACGGGCGAGAGGGAUAUUUUCCCUUCGCUGUGCCACUGGAUGGGCUCGCAGUCGCCAUAACAGAGAUGAAAAAACUCCGGGAGAUUAACGAGAUCACCACAAUGUGCCUCUCGAUAUCGGGUCUUACAGCAAUUAUUCCCUUAACGUGAAGGAAUAAUUGAGAGAAAGGAGCUGUAACUGCUCGAUAAAGAAAAUGAGAAUCCACCUUGAUGCGCUGGUCACCACCACAAAGAUAUAGAUAUAGCAGAAAGAAAAUAUUCACUUUGACAGAUAAUAUUUCCCCCCCAAAACAAAAAGCAGCUGCGUUCGAGGAUCUGCUGAGGAUAGCUUCCAAUAAGGAUCUUCACGGGGAAGAGAACGAGAAUGAUGUAGGGACCGCUAGCAGCGAUAUAUAUGAGGGAGGCGGGACUCCUGCAUCACUGUCGUGAUUGGUCUGUCAACCGACAGACAUGGUGUAAUUGGUGCUUCCAAGAUUGGUCACGCCCGAGGCGAUUCCCAUAGUGAGAUACCGAACGAAUGUUUGAAAGAGAACUCAUCAGAAUGAUAAAGGACAACAGGACACUAAGGUCAUAGAGUGGGUGGGCAUAUCAAAGAGCAAAAAGAAGAGAAUGUUCCUGUGCUGAGGCUUCCUCCAUCGAUGUUGUGGUCUAUCCUUGCACAUUAUGCCUCCAGCACAAGGAUGAUCAAACAAGGUCU